UCCCGGUAGCGUAAAAGUGAACUCAAAUUUGUAUGGAGUUGGAACUGUUGCUUUGGUUUGCCGUUAGGGACGCUGUUCCAACUGCAUACAAAUUUAAGUUAACUUUUACGCUAACGA
rnacentral:pre_miRNA from 9 species